CCUAAAGGCAACACCUUUGAGUAAGUGUUUAUUCUGUUUAAAGGCUCUGAUAGUUUGCACUGCAGCUACUGUUUUGUGCCUGGUGUGUGGAUAAGAUGGUAAGUUACUUCAGAUCAUUCUUUGCCAUUUAGACACAUGUCCUCUGCUAAAUGAAUAGAUGAGUAAGACUCUUUAGUGAUGAAAACCUCUAGAUUCUGUAUUCCACAGGCUUUUUUCAUGAACCUGAUCUUUUCUUUUAAUAGUCCCUUGACCAUCUUGUGCAAUAUUGGCUACCAUAGUUUUCUUUGACAAACAAAUAAAAAUUAGACUGCCUUUUGUACAUUUUGUAGGAUGUUUUUAAACUUCUUUUUUGUUUGCUGGCUUACUUGUUGGCACGUAGGCAGAGGCAGAUUCAUAUUUUGCUGUUGUUUUGUAGUCCCUAUAGUCCCACAGCCUGUUCAGUGGUCAACAAGAUGAGAAAUUCUACACUAGGUUCUUUUAACUUGGUCUAGGUACCUCUCAGCCUAGUAUUGGUCACCCUAUUUUUUUAGUUUAAAAUAAACCAAUAAUGAUGAUGGUAGUACAACAAUGCUACAUUAAUUUUGAAACUGCAGAGCAUGCUUAAAUUAUUACCCAAUGUGUGUAGGUAAUUUACUGUUUUUCUCUUGCACUGGGUUAAGUAGGUUUAAAUUGAAAUCAUCUCUCUUCUUGGCGUUUUUAGACUGAAUAUUAACUUAGGCCAAAAAUAAUCAGAAUGUUAUUUUGAAAAAAGAAUAUGAUAAUUCAAUAUCUUUUCCUUCAGGCUAUGAAAGAGUGCCUCUAAUAUGAUUCCCAGAGAAUAGAGCAUGUGGUGACCUUGAUUGGGUCACUUUUCCUAUUGUGGGGGCACUGCCCAUUCCUCCUGAUGCGCCUGUCUACCACGGCCUUUUCCCACCAUGUCAGACCUAAGUUUUGUGAAGAAGGCUGUACGCAAAGGUCACGUUGCAGAGGCCAGAAUCUGCUCACAUGGAAAUCGCUGUAUGAUGGAGACUGUAACACAAGUUAACACUGGUGGUAAAGUCUGUCACCUCCCAUCACAAUGAGGUAUGGGCCCAUUUCCUUACUCCAACCAAUUCAGGCUCUCUCUCUGCUCUUGUGAGAUGUUGUGUUUACUGGGGGGCUUUGCUCUUCUGCAG
rnacentral:lncRNA from 1 species